AUUUAAGUGGAGGUAGCAUUUUGUACCUGCUUUUCUAUUUUACCUUCUGUCUCCUCAGUGUAGUGCACCUGUCUUCUGCCUAUAUUGUAGUAACUGUUGAUAUAAAGAACNGUAAAAUAGAAAAGCAGGUACAAAAUGCUACCUCCACUUAAAU
rnacentral:miRNA from 1 species